rnacentral:tRNA from 2 species
GCCUCGGUGGCUUAGGGGUAUAGCGCGUCCUUGGUAAGGACGAGGUCGUGGGUUCAAAUCCCACCCGAGGCU